rnacentral:misc_RNA from 1 species
UAAUUAAUGAUGAAAUGGUUAGUUAUAAGUUCGGUUCUCACAUUGCUGAUUCUCCCACACUCUUUUUUAUUUGGUGUAUAAGCCUCUGGUAUCUAAUGUGGAAUGGGAGCUUCCCAUAUCCUAUUUGCAAGUGUAGUGAAUCAUUUUUUUAUUUGAAAGAUUAUAAUGUGCUUUUGUGUGUGCAUAUGUGCUCAAAACUCUUGAAAUAACUGUUGAAUAAACAGUGUUAGACAAAGUUUUUGAAUGUGUGAUCUGAAGAGAAUGCUGCCUGCAAUCCUACAAGGAACAAACAAAGAUUCAUAGAGUUGUCUGCCUUUGAUUUAUAGAAGUUAACAUGCUGGCCAAUUUAAUAAUUUGUUUGGUUGUCUGGGAAAUUCUGAAGGGUAACGCGUCAUUGAAAAUGAAGUAGCUGUGGAGUUGAGUGAUUAUCUUAUGUUAACAUUUUGAUAUCGAUUGAAAGGAAAGAACUUCAAUAUGGAUAUAAAUCCCUGGGUGUAGCUAGUAUCUCUGCUCAAUCCUAUUCUAGUAGGUGGAGUGGUUGAAGAUGGUGGCACAGAGCUCAUGCUUGAAGUCUGAUUUUCUGAAUGCAAGUUUGUUAGAUGAACAUGAUAAGAAAGUUAAUCAUUUUGGGAAUUUCUCCCUUUUCGUGGGAAGAGCAGGUAUUUCAAUCUCUUAGUUGCCAACUAUGAAGGAAGAAUUCAAAGUGUUUCUGUUGUGACUGAAUUACUUUAAACAGACAGAUAGUUUGAGGUUAAAAAAUCAUUUUAGAUAGAAAGAAUGAAUUUGAAGUGAUUUUUACUUAGUAUUAACUGGAAAACAAAUGUAAUCAUGGUAAAAGUUCAUGAUAAUUCUUUUUGUUUGUUUGCUUGAUAGAUGGAUGAAGGUCAAUUAGUUGUAGAAUUUGUAACAAGCUUAUGAAGACAUUUGUGG